GAUUGCUGGACAGACUAUGGUCCUCUGUGGACAUCUUACUAGACAGUGCUGGAUUUUUGGAUCUACUCUAACACUGUCUGGUAACGAUGUUUAAAGAGGAACCAAACCACUACGUGC
rnacentral:miRNA from 1 species